GAAAAUAAAGCAACUGACAACUAGGGCCAUUUGGGAAGAUUGGAUGUUCUCUUGUUAUAACUUUUGGAGCGUUUUCUAUCACUUGGGGAAAUCUUAGAGGUGUUUUUCAGCAGUGCUGUGUAAGAUGAAUUUCUCCUACUAGUCUAUCUCAUUGUUAUUACAGACGAGUUCAGCAUGAGUAGUCAAGGAGGGAAUAUAACUGCUAAUGGCCCUUGGUGCUAAUGGGUAGUAGAGUAGCUUAGGUGAACAUAAAAAGCAGCUAAGAAAGGUAUGGGACCGGCCACAAUUAAUCUCAAGUAGAACCCAAAUAAAGACAAAAAACAUAAGCAUAAAUAAUGGCAUCCUCUAGUUAGUUCAGAGGAGACAAGUGGAGAAUUAUCUGUGUUAAAUUCUUUCAACCACAGCACGGAAAACCCCCACAUAGUUAAGUUCUUGAUGUCAGUUGACUGAUAACUAGAUCUAUUUCAUAACCCUGUCUACAUAUAAUGGUCAACUCUGUGAACUUCCUAAAUUUACCACUCAAGGCCGAAAUCAAGCUAUAAAUAAAAAGGAAAUCAAUGUCCUGUAUGUUUUUAUGAAUGUGUUAUGCAAAGGCAGCAUCUUUCAUUUUAAUGUGAUGUUUGGUACAUAUAAAUUAAUCUAUUUAUAAUUUAUGUAAGCUCAAGCUAACCCAUUACUCAAGAAGUAGACCAGGGAGUUCCCACUGUGGAUCAGUGGGUUAGAAUCUGACUAGUAUCCAUGAGGAUGCAGGUUCUAUCCCUGGCCCUGCUCAUGGGUUAAGGAUCCAGUAUUGCCAUGAGCUAUGAAGUAGGCCACAGAUGUAGCUCGGAUCUGGCAUUGCAUUGCUGUGGCUGUGCAGCUUCAGGUGACAGCUGCAGCUCCUAUUCAGCCCCUAACUUGGGAACUUCCAUAUGUCACAGGAGCAGACCUAAAAAAAAAAAACACGAAAAAGAACUAAAACAUUACUACUCUUAGUGAGUGUGUCUGAAAGUUCAUCCCCAUUCUUAUCCCUCCACUCCAGCUAGUUGCUAUCCUGAUGUUUUGGGUUUGUUUGUUUUUUUUUUAACUUUUAUCUCCUUUGGCACAUUUUAUCUUGUUCUUUAUGAUUUUUCCAAGUAUCUACUACGCCUCCCUAAGAGUUACAUUAUUUGGUUGCAUGCUUUAUAAAAUGUUAUGUUCUUUUGUUACUUAUUUUUUAUUUUAGUUGCUAUUUUUAUCCAAAGCACACAAAAGGAGGCAAAUACUACCACAAGGAUUGAUAUAUUAAAAAAAUCAGUUCCCACUCUAGCAUCUAUUUCCAAUUUCAACUUUUUGAAUAGAUUUUUAGACUUACCUAUAUAUCUUUAAAUAAUACACUUAUAUUGUUUAUUCAGUUUUAGAAAAAGACCUAUUUUCUUCCCAUUUUGGAAUAUAAGAAUUUUUGUGGAGUAUAAUUACUUUACAAUGUUGUAUUAGUUUCAGGUGUACAGCAAAGUGAUCCAGAUAUAUCCAUAUAUAGAUAUAGAUAGAUAUAGAUAUACACACACACACAUAUUUAUUCUUUUUCAGCUUCUUUUCCCAUAUAGAUUACUACAGAAUAUUGAGUAGAGCUCCCUGUGCUACAGAGUAGGCCCUUCUUGGUCAUCUAUUUUAUAAAAUGUUAAUGGGUAUAUAUGUUAAUCCCAAACUCCUAGUUUAUCCCUUCCCCCUGCCCCCAUGUUUUCCUUUUGGUAAUCAUAACUUUGUUUUCUUUGUCUGAGUCUGUUUCUGUUCUGUAGGUAGGUUCAUUUGUGCCGUAUUUUAGAUCCCUCAUAUAAGUGAUGUCAUAUGGUAUUUGUCUUUCUCUUUUUCACUUACAUCGCUUAGUAUGAGAAUCUCUAGUUGCAUCCAUGUUGCUGCAAGUGGCAUAAUUUCAUUCUUUUUUAAGAGCAAUCUUCCUUUGAAUAUAUGUACCACAUCUUCUUUAUCCAUUCAUCUGUUGAUGGACACUUAGGUUGCUUCCAUGUCUUGGCUGUUGUAAAUAGUGCUGCACUGAUCAUUGGGAUGCAUGUAUCUUUUUGAAUUAUGGUUUUCUCCAGAUAUAUGCCUAGGAAGGAGAUUACUAGAUCAUAUGGUAGUUCUAGUUUUAGCUUUCUUAGAGAAGCUCCAUACUGUUCUCCAUAGCGGUUGUAGGAAUAUGAGAACUUAGCUCUUUCAUGCAUGUCGUCUCCCCACAUACACUCCUACUUCUCAUCUCCCCCAUCCUCCCAGUAAUCUUAUAUCAUAUUUUGGUUAUAUCAUUAGUUAGACUUUACAUAAUUAUGACUAUGUGAGUACUAUUCAUAGCCUAGCCGUGUGGUUCAUAUGAUGACUUUUUGUCUUCUCUGCAAAGUUAGGUUUUCCUUGAAUUAAUAAUCAACUUAUUUUUGGAGUUCCCUUGUGGUGCAACAGGUUAAGGACCCAGCGUGGUCACUGCAGUGGCUGGGGUCGCUACAGUGGCACAGGUUUGAUCCCUGGCCCAGGAACAGCCAUAUGCCCACAGCCAUAUGCCCACAGGCAUGGCCAAAAAAAA
ensembl:lncRNA